AGUGACGAUAGCCUAGGAGAUACACCUGUACCCGUGCCGAACACAGAAGUUAAGCCCUAGAACGCCGGAAGUAGUUGGGGGUUGCCCCCUGUGAGAUAGGGAAGUCGCUUAGCU
rnacentral:rRNA from 1 species